CAACUAAAAACUCAAGUAAAAUUAAAUCCAGAUAAAAAUUGCACAACCAAAUAAAAGAUUAAAUCAAACUCAGAUGACACAGAUGAUUUAUCCUGGUUCGGCCAUUCUGCCUAUUCCAGUCCGGUCCUUCUUCUCCUCGAAGUGCCGAUUUCACUAUCACUUGGCCUUUUGAACAGGGCAAGACCAAAGCCGCUUACAAUCACACAAAACUUCUUUUACAACCUCUCAAUGAAGCUCACAAUUACAAAUAAAUGAACAAUUAGGACUUGAGAAUUUUUCUGAAGUUGUAUCCCAAACAACAUCCAAGCCCCCCUUUAAAUACAUUAGCCAUCAUUUCAAAAAUGAAACAA
rnacentral:lncRNA from 1 species